GAUGAACGCUGGCGGCGUGCCUAAUACAUGCAAGUCGAGCGAACGGACGAGAAGCUUGCUUCUCUGAUGUUAGCGGCGGACGGGUGAGUAACACGUGGAUAACCUACCUAUAAGACUGGGAUAACUUCGGGAAGCCGGAGCUAAUACCGGAUGAUAUUUUGAACCGCAUGGUUCAAAAGUGAAAGACGGUCUUGCUGUCACUUAUAGAUGGAUCCGCGCUGCAUUAGCUAGUUGGUAAGGUAACGGCUUACCAAGGCAACGAUGCAUAGCCGACCUGAGAGGGUGAUCGGCCACACUGGAACUGAGACACGGUCCAGACUCCUACGGGAGGCAGCAGUAGGGAAUCUUCCGCAAUGGGCGAAAGCCUGACGGAGCAACGCCGCGUGAGCGAUGAAGGUCUUCGGAUCGUAAAACUCUGUUAUUAGGGAAGAACAUAUGUGUAAGUAACUGUGCACAUCUUGACGGUACCUAAUCAGAAAGCCACGGCUAACUACGUG
rnacentral:rRNA from 1 species